CCAUGGUCAACGUCUUAAUUGACUCAAAGUCAACUCUCCAUAAAUCAAAAAGUCAAGCUUCAUUGUGGGUACAAGCAGCUUUACAAACUAACCUUGCAAAGUUUACUUUGUUUACAAUGGAAGAAAAUCAAAAAAUUCCACAAGCCGAGCGAAAUUAUCAUAUUGUCCUUGACACCGAGAAAAUUCAAGUGGAAAACCGGUUACCUGAAAACAAGAAAAGCCCGAAAACAAACGAACCGGUUGCUUCUACAACACGGUGUGUUGGCCCUACCAUGAAAAAAGAAAGGAUAGAAUUGUCAAAUGGAAGUAGUCGAUUAAAGGAAACGGCUAACUUAGCUGAAAAACUACUUUUGGCAUCGAGGAAAUGGUUUUUGAAUUACUUGGAAGUUUCUUUAAACAAGGGGUUUAAAUUGACGAAAGGAGAAGAGUCGGGGGUAGCAAUUUGUCUUUUGGGACAACUCAAAAGGGUUAAUCAAUGGCUCGAUGAUUCGGUUAUUGGGGACGAAAAGGUGGAAAAUUUAAGGAAGAAAUUAUAUACUUUUUUGCUUGAGCAUGUUCGGAAGUAGAUUUUGCUAAAAAAAGUUAUUCUUCCGGGACCCUGUGGACCAUACGGACUAUACUGUCAGUAUCAUGAGAGAUGUAAAUCAGAUGUUAUCUGGUAGUUUAGGUCAAAAACAAAUGACUAAUGACUAAAGAUGUGAAGGUGUAGGUGGCUCUAACUAAAACUAAUGGAAGAUGGAGAAAGAUAAGUAGGAGAAGAAAUUAAUUAAUGUAGCUUUUCAUUUUUAUUUUGAGCAAAAUGUAUGCAUAACUUGCUACUACUUUAAUUUGACCACUAGAAUGGUGAAGAAAAUGAUGCAUUUAGUUUGGUUUAGAGGCGUUUUGUGUUUAUGUGUGAUUCAAGCUUUUGGUUGAAUACCCGUUAUUUGAUGGUGAUUUCUUAGUGGAAAGUUGUAAUGGUGAAUUCUAUAGGGUUGAAUUGAAGAAAUAGCAAUGUACUUUUGUUGAGGUAUUUAUUAUAACAUUGUAUUUUGAAAAUACUUUCUAAUUAUAGUAAUCUACCCUAAUAAAUAAGAAUGAUUUUGUCACAUGUUAUUCUCUCAUUUAAUUGGACACAUGUCAUUUUGUCAUAAUUUUAAGAUAUAUUUAUUUUCCACUUGUCAUUUAUUUCAUUUUUCAUUUUUAAUAUAUCAUUAAUUUAGUUUCCAUAAAUUAAACCUACCAUAACUAUUAAUUUUAAAUUUUAAACUUUAAAUUUCAAUUUCAAUUUCAAUUUCAAAUAAAUUUACAGUUUAACCUUUGUGUUUAAUAUUUUGUUAUAGUUAAUCAUUUUAAUACACGAGUUUGAUAACUAAAUACAAAAUUUUUAUUUAUUUAUUUUUUGCAUGUUUUUUCUUAUAAUUUUCAAAUUCAAAUAAACUUCCAAUUUAAUUGUUCAUACUUAACAUUUUCUUUUAAUCAACCUGUAUAAUAUAUGGGUCUUACAACUAGUGUCUUAUAUUUGCAAAACAGUCGUCACAAUUUUAAUAGGGUGGAUAUUAUAAUAUGCCAGCAAAAAGGAAAAAUAUUAAAUGAAACCUUUUAUUUGAUAUAUUUUUAAAAGCAGAAGUUAAUUUUUCUUAUAAGGAUAUUCAUUAUGGUUAUAAAAUUUUCCAAAGCAACAUAUAUUUUUAAUUAUAUAUUUUUCUUGUAAGGACCAAUUUGUGAAUGAUUUAUAUUUUUAAUUAUAUUUUACAAAGCAACAUAUUGACAUAAAAUUUUCCAAUUUGUUGUUGCUUNNNNNNNNNNNNNNNNUUUUUUAAUAAAUUUGAUGGAUGGAAUGCAACCCUUCCAUCUAAACAUGCACAUUUGCGGUAUUGGGUUGUUCUUGACACGGUCCGGCUUUUAUACGGUCGGUUUCGGAGCGGUCUAGUUUUUUUUUUCGGACCGGUUUUGGGUCUUUUUUCGGAUCGGUCUUUUUCGAUGCUGUCUUUUUAGGGACCGAACACAGGAUUGGACACGGUCUUUUUAGGUACGAUCUCGCGGUCUUUCCGUGCGUCUUUUUCGGUUUUGUUUUAAGGUUUUUCAGGUUAUUUCAGCUUGGUUUCAGUAUGUGUUGUUUUUUUAGUUUCAAUUUCGAGUUUUUCCCUUAACAAAUAAGUGAUUAACACCAAAAUGAUAGAUUAAACUUUAUAAAAAAUGAUACAUUUUAAUAAAAGAAAAAAAAAGAAAAAAGAAAUGAAGUUAGAUAUUGUGUGAUUAAAAAUUAUGUAAUUUAGACAAAAAUGAUAUAUUUAUAAAUUUUGGCUUUCGUUUUUUUAGAUCGUUUUCAGACUGGUCUUGUGGCAAUCUGGGAGUGAUCCGAUCUUUUUCAGCAUCGGUAUUAGAACAGUUUUCUCGGACCGGUCCAACCUUUUUUAUGACCGGUCUUUUUCAGUCCGGUCUCGGUCUUUUUUCAGGUUCGAUCCAAGAUCACUCCUUUUGUGUAGGUCUACUUCCAUCACACUUACAUCCUAAUCAACUUUUCUCUUAUUUCUCUUCUAUAUUUUAUCCAACAAUACAUGAAAAUUGUAUUUUUUUUGCAUCCCAUUCAACCUAUCUUAUCAUUAUUUUUAAUUUAUAUAAAUUAAAAAAUGUAAAAUAAAUAAAAUAUAAAAAAUUUUCAAAUAAAAAAACUAAUACAAAUAAGAAAGAUCAAACUACAUGGUCCUUGUGGUUUGCAGAAAAUUGUUAUUUUGGUCCAAAAAAGUUUGGACUAACACCAUGUUAUACCUCUUAUAUUAGGCAAAUAAGUUAGUUAAGGGUAAUAUGGGAAAUCAUCUAAUUAAAGAGUAUCUUAUUAGUGGGAGGGGUAUUUUAGGCAUUUUAUAGUAUUAGUUGUUUUGUCAGAUAGUAUAAGAAUAGGGUAGUGGGCAGGGAGUGAUCUAUCUAUCUUUUAUGUGAAAGAUUUAUUCCUUGGGAGAUUGGCUAUCUCGAAUCAGCUAAACUAUAAUUUGUUCCUGUAAUCUUUUGGGUAUAUUUGAGGUUAUCAAUCAAUAUUUGAAGUUGUUGGUUGCUUUUAUGUUAUUGAAUCUGUUCUUGUAAGUCCAGUUCAUAACACACCACCGCUCCAACUUUUCAUUUUGUUGUGAGAUUGGUCCAAAUUUAUUUUGAUUUUUUUUAAAUGACGAUUUUGCCUUUUAUAUUUUCAUUUUCUAUUUUUUUAUAUUAUAAUAACUAAAAAAGAAAAAAAAAAAAGAAAAACGUAUAUGUAUUAUUACCCCUACCCCCUCUUUUUCUCUCUUUCAUUUAUAAAAAAAGAAACACCACCACCAUCUUAUUCCAGUGACCGAGGACUCCAACAAUGAGAGGAUUUCCAGCGUCGAAGAUGUUUUCUGACAACAAAACAAAUGGGUCUGUCAACCAGAAGGUUUUAUGUAAGAUUCUGUUUCUUGUUAUUUUUUUAUUUUAGGCCUGUGAACCGGAAUUGAAGUCAAUUGUAUAAAGGCUUUGGGUCUUAAGGAGGUAAUGUUUAGACCGUAAGAAGCUAGGAAUGUUUUGGGUUUAGUCUACUAUGUUGGGCGUAUAGGGUGUACGUUGGGUGUACUAGGCAUUGAUGAUCGUAUAGAUUUAACCUGGUACACUAGGAGUACACUGGGCGUAUGUGAUCAGAACCUAAACCCUAGUUUUCGGGCUUUAAGCCCUAUUUAAGAUCCUUAACUUCCCUAAACCCUUUACAUUCUCAGCCUCCACCUCUCCAACAUCCUCCCUUGAAACCCUAACCCUAGUUUGAGCCUCGUGAGCAAAAGAAGGUGUUUUGAAUGCUUUAGAGUGUUCUUGGUGCAUCUUGGAGAAGAAGAAGCUCAUUCGAGAAGUGUUGGUUGGAUUGGAGCUUGUAGAUCCAAACCUUGUUCACCUUGAUCUUUCCUAUGGAGGUAUAAAACUUGAAUCUUGAUGAUGCAUUUGUUAGAUCUAGCUAGUUUCGAGUAUUAUGAGCUUUUGAUCAAUUUAGUGCAUAAAGUUUAGAUCUUGAAAUCCUGUGACCUUGUUAUGGAUAAAGUUGGAAAGUUUAUCCAUCUAAUCAUCAUAUCGAUUUAGAUAUGAAGGUUGAAGACUUGGACUUAAUGGAUUAAGUUCAGAAAGAUGCACUUUUGGUCCCUUUGAGUCUUAAAGACUAAAUCUUGGAUGUUUGGACCAUCCUAAUAGAUAAACUUGGAACUUUAUCUAUUAUGGAGCUAUUAGGAACCAUAAAAAUGUGAUCUUGGUCCUUCUAUCCCUUCCAUGCAAGAGUUAUGAUGUCUUAAUGGAUUAAUAAGUUAGGGUUUUAGCUUUUGGACCUUUUCUAGCCAUGGAAAGUCAUAAAGAUGGAAACUUUAUGACUUAAGUCGAUGUUUCGAGUUAGAUCUAAGCUUUGGACAAAAGGACUUAGUGGAUAAAGUGCUUAAUGGAGGAUUGAGAAUAGGCCGCGUACGUUGGGCCUGAGUAUUCCAGCCCGAUGGCUGAUUGGACCCGCUGCAUGUUGGCUUUCCAGUCCGAGGAUUGAUUGGGCUUGGGCAUUCCAAUCCGAUGAUUGUGGGCCGUUAUUCAUGAUUGCAUGUUUAUCGUAUGAGGUAUUUUGGGGGAACUUAGUAAGCUUUGUGCUUACCAAAUUGUUUAUGUUUUUCAGGUUUGAUUGGUAACCGUGGGAAGGCGAAGGCAGGAUUGUACAUCCUCAUUAGCAACAUUGAGAAUUCCGUGUUUCUUAUAUUACUCUGAUUUUUUAAUAAAUGUAUUUUGGAAUAAACGGUUUUCUUAAUAAUGGAUUUAUAAUUGGGAAGUUUUAGUUUAAUAAAUUGAAAAUUUUUUGUUGUGAAAAUGGGACGUUACAUUUUUAGGAUACGAGGAGUGGUUUUCGAAGACGAAGAUCGACAGAGGUUUACAGAGGAAACAUUCCGGUGACUUAGGCUUCUGACAACAAGGAACCAAUCACCGUAGCAAACAAGUUUAGAUCUGUCCAUAUUGUCCGUCUUGUUCUGGUAGUGGUGGUUAGAUCGACAGUAGUGGAGACCCAAAAAUCAAAACAAGGGUUUGUUAGGGUUUUCAGAAGCGGCGAUAACACUGGAGGUUUUAUACAAAUGGUGGUGUCGUCUUGCUUCACCCCUUCAUUUUCAUUCUCACUUCACAACAGACAGAGGUGUAAUAAUGUCACACCCCCAAACCGGAACGACGGAAAUGUUCGGGGGUGGUUGUCGUCAUGCAUAGUAUCACAACAGUUAUAUCAUAGCAAGCAUAGUAAACACAACCAAGCAUUGAAUACAUAUAUGAAUAAGGUUUACAUUGUCUUAGUACGUAGUUUUGUUCAUGACAAAAGUAAAAUGGAAAGACGUGACUCUAACGCGCUGGCUUCUCCAAAAUCCUGGAAGUACCUGCCUACUAAAUCCCUGAGAAUACAAGCGGUUUUGAAAGAAUAUCAGCAUAAAGCUGGUGAGUUCAUAAGCAUUUAGUUUUGGUGGAAAAAUGUUUCUCUGAUCAUUUUGAAAAGUGUUCCUCAAGAAAAUCCUAUAUUUUCUUAUGAAAAGCGUGUUUGAAAGCCCAUUACGUCCAUGACUUCCUGAUUCAUACAAGAUAUGUACAAUCCAAGGAGUCGUGGAAUGAAUAUGAAUAUCCGUUAGUUACAUGUAAAAAAACAAUCCGUUUAUGAAAAGUCGAGUUAUCCUGGGAAAAUCCUAUAUUUUCCCUAAAAGUUGAUGGUUUGUUAUCCGUUCUGAACUGAGGUGUACAAGUAUCUACCAUACUUAUAUCGAUAAACGUAGUUUUCUUUUAAAAACCCUGGUUACUCCCAGUGAGGUAUGUUUGCCUUAUUAUAUAAAUAAAACUGAUAAAAGAAAACGUAUUGAACUAAAUCCUGAAGGUACUAUUAAUACCUUCCAGUAAUCAAAUCGGUUAUUACUUUGAGGUUAGUUUACUUGAUUCAUUAUUACAAAAGUAAAUCUCUGCUAUCUAGGUUGCGAGUGUCAUGACCAUAACUGACUGGAUAUGACCCGCAACGGCCAGUAUCCUUUAUGACUUUGCCACCCGUAGACCUGCCAGUCCGACUGUAGCUAGCAACAAGGUGCGGGAUUGUCAGUCUCGUAUAUAUCUAUACACAACAAUCACGUUCUCCCUACAAGAGACUCUGGUCACAAGUGCUAGUCCUACACUCUGUUUCUUGUGGUGAGUGUUACCAAGGAUGUGUCUCCAACUUAGAAUAACAAAUUUACAAGUAAUAAUAUAGAAAUUCCUUUUGUGAUUAACAUGAAUCUUUUAUAAAACGAUACAUUUUGCUACCUGAUUCAAUAGUUCAUUGCUCUAGUUUUGAAAACUGUUUCUACGAGUUGAUUUGUUAAUCGUUUGGUAAAACUGUUUUCCGUGUUAAAAAGUCAAGCUUCAUUGUGGGUACAAGCUGCUUUACAAACUAACCUUGCAAAGUUUACUUUGUUCACAAUGGAAGAAAAUCAAAAAAUUCCACAAACCGAGCGAAAUUACCAUCUUGUCCUUGACACCGAGAAAAUUCAAGUAGAGAACCGGUUACCCGAAAACAAGAAAAGCCCGAAAACAAACGAACCGGUUGCUUCUAGAACACGGUGUGUUGGCCC
rnacentral:lncRNA from 1 species